ensembl:snRNA U6 U6 spliceosomal RNA
GGUUGCCAUUUCCUUCUCCAUAUACUAAAAUUGGAAUGAUACAGAGAAGAUUAGCAUGGCCCCUAAGCAAGGAUGACACACAAAUUCAUGACAUGUUCCAUAUUUUU